UACGAAGGGGGCUAGCGUUGCUCGGAAUCACUGGGCGUAAAGGGUGCGUAGGCGGGUUUUUAAGUCCGUUGUGAAAGCCCUGGGCUCAACCUGGGAAUGGCAGUGGAUACUGGAAAGCUAGAGUGCGGUAGAGGGUAGUGGAAUUCCCGGUGUAGCAGUGAAAUGCGUAGAGAUCGGGAGGAACACCAGUGGCGAAGGCGGCUACCUGGACCAGCACUGACACUGAGGCACGAAAGCGUGGGGAGCAAACAGG
rnacentral:rRNA from 1 species